rnacentral:rRNA from 1 species
AGUGAACGCUGGCGGUAGGCCUAACACAUGCAAGUCGAACGGCAGCACAGUAAGAGCUUGCUCUUACGGGUGGCGAGUGGCGGACGGGUGAGGAAUACAUCGGAAUCUACUUUUUCGUGGGGGAUAACGUAGGGAAACUUACGCUACUACCGCAUACGACCUACGGGUGAAAGCAGGGGAUCUUCGGACCUUGCGCGAUUGAAUGAGCCGAUGUCGGAUUAGCUAGUUGGCGGGGUAAAGGCACACCAAGGCGACGAUCCGUAGCUGGUCUGAGAGGGUGAUCAGACACACGGGAACUGAGACACGGUCCAGACUCCUACGGGAGGCCGCAGUGGGGAAUAUUGGACAAUGGGCGCAAGCCUGAUCCAGCCAUACCGCGUGGGUGAAGAAGGCCUUCGGGUUGUAAAGCCCUUUUGUUGGGAAAGAAAAGCAGCAGGUUAAUAACCCGCUGUUCUGACGGUACCCAAAGAAUAAGCACCGGCUAACUUCGUG